UUCGCGCGCGCUGCUGUGCUGAGCGCGAGGCGCGACCGCAGGGCUUUUCCAGUCAGCGCUGUGGCGGGCUGUGUGGCUGUGUGGUACCGGGCUCUGAGCCCCCCUACCUAUUGCUGCUGUGCGCUGUAGUUACCCUACAGUGAGACAGAAGUAUUUGCAAGAUCAUCCCUUGCACAGUUCUACUCCAGCAUUGCCCAUAGCACAGCCCAGCAGCACGAACUACAAGCGAAUAAUGCCAGUUAAUCGCUCUAGAAGCUUUUUGUCUCCUUCCCUGGUUAUUUAUGACUAAGUAAUUACAGACUGGCUCUCUAGGAGGCUUGGGGUGGAUGGAUUUGGGCUGCUGCUUCCAAUCUGCUCCUUGUGUUUGAGCAGCUUCACAGUUGACGUAGCAACGAAUGCAUCACCCUGGUCUUUGCUUCAGGGCUGAAGAGAACGUGCUUUGAAACAUGCAUGUCUGCUGUCCUCAGGAAGCUGUACAGCAUCUCUCUGUCAGGUUUUGUUUUUAAGUUUUUGUCAGGGUGCAUUGCCUGCUAGCUGUACAAUAAUGACCUGCUACAAUUCUGUCUGCAUGAUUUUCUCUUGAGGUUAUUCCUCAGUCUCUCCUGAAGACAAUCACAGCAUCUGAUAUCCAGUCAGCUAUACAUAAUUGUAGAUUUUCCAUGGUGUAUGGGAGCUACUGAGUCACGGCCUGAACCUCUGACUGAUCACCGGAGGCGAGCCAUGAGUCAGCCAGAG